GAUGAACGCUGGCGGCGUGCCUAAUACAUGCAAGUCGAGCGAACGGACGAGAAGCUUGCUUCUCUGAUGUUAGCGGCGGACGGGUGAGUAACACGUGGAUAACCUACCUAUAAGACUGGGAUAACUUCGGGAAACCGUAGCUAAUACCGGAUAAUAUUUUGAACCGCAUGGUUCAAAAGUGAAAGACGGUCUUUCUGUCACUUAUAGAUGGAUCCGCGCUGCAUUAGCUAGUUGGUAAGGUAAUGGCUUACCAAGGCAACGAUGCAUAGCCGACCUGAGAGGGUGAUCGGCCACACUGGAACUGAGACACGGUCCAGACUCCUACGGGAGGCAGCAGUAGGGAAUCUUCCGCAAUGGGCGAAAGCCUGACGGAGCAACGCCGCGUGAGUGAUGAAGGUCUUCGGAUCGUAAAACUCUGUUAUUAGGGAAGAACAUAUGUGUAAGUAACUGUGCACAUCUUGACGGUACCUAAUCAGAAAGCCACGGCUAACUACGUG
rnacentral:rRNA from 1 species